rnacentral:lncRNA from 1 species
GCAAAGGGAAAGCCACUAACAGUAUAAAAAACUAAGUGCAUCACCGACCCCACAUCUAUUGUGAAACAUCCUCAGCCAUUUUCCUCACCUUCUCCAACAGUGGCUUUAUCUCGACAUCCAAAUGGUAUACCUCCUCAGUUGAAAUUUUACCGUCACAUUUUUCCAGCAUGGAUGUCAUAAUCUCGAGUUUCUGUCUGAUAGAAACAAGCUGAGAUCUCUCACCAGUGGUUGGCCACGAAGCAACUGGG